ACACGGCCGACGCGGGUCAAAGUGUAGUAUCUGUUCUUAUCAGCUUAGUAUGUGAUACGGGUUCUAUUUGGACCGAAGAUAUUCAACUUAUUUUUGCAAGUUGGUGGAGUGCUUGAAGCGCGCUUCGCCUCCGCCGUGGGUCGGCCGGGUAAAACUCUUGCUUGGGCUAGUUGGUUCAUGCUUG